UACAGAGGGUGCAAGCGUUGCUCGGAAUCAUUGGGCGUAAAGGGCAAGUAGGUGGUCUCAUUUGUCUGAUGUGAAAGCCUUGGGCUUAACCCAAGAAGUGCGUCAGAAACGGUGAGACUCGAGUUCUGGAGAGGGUCGUGGAAUUCCCGGUGUAGCGGUGAAAUGCGUAGAGAUCGGGAGGAACACCAGAGGCGAAGGCGGCGACCUGGACAGAUACUGACACUCAACUGCGAAAGCGUGGGGAGCAAACAGG
rnacentral:rRNA from 1 species